rnacentral:rRNA from 1 species
UAAUACGUAGGGUGCAAGCGUUAAUCGGAAUUACUGGGCGUAAAGCGUGCGCAGGCGGUCGUGCAAGACAGGUGUGAAAUCCCCGGGCUUAACCUGGGAACUGCACUUGUGACUGCACGGCUGGAGUACGGCAGAGGGGGAUGGAAUUCCGCGUGUAGCAGUGAAAUGCGUAGAUAUGCGGAGGAACACCGAUGGCGAAGGCAGUCCCCUGGGCCUGUACUGACGCUCAUGCACGAAAGCGUGGGGAGCAAACAG